GUGUAUGAAAGGAGAGAAGGUUAGCACUCUUGACAAGGAUGGAAGAGGCCCUCGGGCCUGACAACACGCAUACGGUUAAGGCAUUGCCACCUACCUCUGUCCAUUUUUAAUCAGUUCAUCUA